AUGGGUACACCGAUAAUACAAGUCAAGACCAUACAUGUCAGUUCGGUGAUCCUUGCUGCAAAAAGUUCUUUCUUUCUGAAGCUUUUCUCAAAUGGCAUGAAAGAAUCUGGUCAAACCCAUGCAACAGUUAGAAUUGCUGAUUCAGAGGAAACGGCCUUCAUGGAGCUUUUAGGCUUUAUGUAUAGUGGAAAGUUGACACCGACUGAGCCCACUCUUCUGCUUGAUAUCUUGAUGGCUGCUGACAAAUUUGAGGUUGUUUCUUGCAUGAAGCUCUGCGGUCAUCGGCUCAUAGACCUUCCUAUGAACCUAGAAUCGGCAGUGAGGUGCCUAGAUCUCCCAUGUUGCAUUUCAAUGGCAGCUGCCCUCCAAGGGGCAGCCCAGAAAUUCUUUGCUGAAAGUGAAAGGUACAAGAAAUUCCCGGAGUUCCAAGAUGAACUAAUGAGGAUCCCUUUCCCUGGGAUUAUGGCCAUCUUGACAAGGAAUGACCUUGAGGUUGCAUCUGAAGUAGCCGCCUAUGACUUUGUGAUCAGGUGGGCCUGUUCAUGGUACCCAAAUUCGGAGGAAAGUCGCAGGAUCUUGAGUUCUUUUUUAAUUCCAACAGUGAGUGUACACAAGGCAAAUGCCUUAUUGUCAGAUUUCAUACAAAGCAUGAAGAGUAUUCUGAAGCUGUAG
rnacentral:rRNA from 1 species